rnacentral:rRNA from 1 species
AUUACUCCUACGGGAGGCAGCAGUGGGGAAUAUUGGACAAUGGGCGAAAGCCUGAUCCAGCCAUGCCGCGUGUGUGAAGAAGGUCUUCGGAUUGUAAAGCACUUUAUGUUGGGAGGAAGGGUGGUAACUUAAUACGUUGCUACUUUGACGUUACCGACAGAAUAAUCACCGGCUAACUUCGUGCCAGCAGCCGCGGUAAUAAU